rnacentral:rRNA from 1 species
CGGCUUGCUUAUACAUGCAAGUCGAGCGGACAGAUGGGAGCUUGCUCCCUGAUGUUAGCGGCGGACGGGUGAGUAACACGUGGGUAACCUGCCUGUAAGACUGGGAUAACUCCGGGAAACCGGGGCUAAUACCGGAUGGUUGUCUGAACCGCAUGGUUCAGACAUAAAAGGUGGCUUCGGCUACCACUUACAGAUGGACCCGCGGCGCAUUAGCUAGUUGGUGAGGUAACGGCUCACCAAGGCGACGAUGCGUAGCCGACCUGAGAGGGUGAUCGGCCACACUGGGACUGAGACACGGCCCAGACUCCUACGGGAGGCAGCAGUAGGGAAUCUUCCGCAAUGGACGAAAGUCUGACGGAGCAACGCCGCGUGAGUGAUGAAGGUUUUCGGAUCGUAAAGCUCUGUUGUUAGGGAAGAACAAGUGCCGUUCAAAUAGGGCGGCACCUUGACGGUACCUAACCAGAAAGCCACGGCUAACUACGUGCCAGCAGCCGCGGUAAUACGUAGGUGGCAAGCGUUGUCCGGAAUUAUUGGGCGUAAAGGGCUCGCAGGCGGUUUCUUAAGUCUGAUGUGAAAGCCCCCGGCUCAACCGGGGAGGGUCAUUGGAAACUGGGGAACUUGAGUGCAGAAGAGGAGAGUGGAAUUCCACGUGUAGCGGUGAAAUGCGUAGAGAUGUGGAGGAACACCAGUGGCGAAGGCGACUCUCUGGUCUGUAACUGACGCUGAGGAGCGAAAGCGUGGGGAGCGAACAGGAUUAGAUACCCUGGUAGUCCACGCCGUAAACGAUGAGUGCUAAGUGU